rnacentral:rRNA from 1 species
ACUCACAGAACAAAACUAUCUGCCAGAGAACUACUAGCAACAGCUUAAAACUCAAAGGACUUGGCGGUGCUUUACAUCCCUCUAGAGGAGCCUGUUCUAUAAUCGAUAAACCCCGAUAAACCUCACCAC